UGGGAUGUGGCUCAGUGGUAGAGUACUCACCUAGCAUGUGUGAGGCCAUGGGUUAUUCCUAGCAUCACAC
rnacentral:tRNA from 1 species